CAAAGGCUGAACUACAACACAGAUAUUGCUUCCAAUAUCAAAAUCAUGCUUCUGCAUAUCAGCUGCUUCUAUUUUGCUCUUCCUGUCUCCUGCUUCCAUGCUGUAAGUUUAAAGGACAUCUGACCAUUUAUAAGUUCUGUGGUGGCUUUAGGAUCUCAGUGCAAGCAGAGGCCACUCCCUUCUUGGGCAUGUGGGAACCAAGAUAAAGGACACUACAAUUUAAUAUGUCAAAAUCCAUGUGCAAGAAGGGGAGAUGUUAAUAAUUUCUUCUAUACUGUUUGUUUCUCUGUUAUUUCUGGACAUCUUGGCUGAGGGAUUUUGAGAGCUGGGCUCUGAGAAAGUAACCUUUUUGGUCAAGUUAUAGACAUGUAGGGAUGAAACAAAUAUCUCCUUGUGUUCCAAUAUGGAGGUGGUGCAGUACUUUUGAGUGACAUUCCUCCCACAACAUUGGCUACUUAAGGCAUCUCUCUGGCUGAGCUGCAUCCAUUCAAUCACCCAUUUUUUCAUGUCCCUUUAACUAAAGAACUUAUCCCAAUUUCUCAAUAUCUGAAGAUUACAUUUCCAAUUUAAACCAUCAAAUAGGUGCAGAGGAAAGGUUACUUAAGAUUCCAGCUUUUUUGCAUGUUAGCCAAGUUCCAGGUGAAAGCACAAAAAUUAGAUUCAUUUCUCAAUGUGAGUGAAAGGUAAACUGCCAUGAAAUGGAGCUGUCGAAUUUAACAAUACUCCUCUGGAGUUAGAAAAGCAUCAUGCAGUAGAUAAUAAUAAUAUGCAUAUUUGGUGGGCAAGGGAGGAUUCAGCAGCUAAAUACAAAGAGAGUUAAUAUCCAGGCAUUUAUAUGUUGGCAAUCACAAAGUCACAAAAAUGCACAGCUGGAAUUCCCAAUCAGUCUCAAAACAUCCCAUGGAAAUUUCACCAAAGAUAGAGAGCAAUGAACUGGAUGGUAACUAGAUUGCAUAAUGAGCCACAUGUACAGUUGAAGUCAGUAAACCUUCAGUAGUAUAUUGGCGGGGGGGGGGGGGGGGAGAGGGAGAGAAAGAGAAGUUAAUUACGAUUGGAACAUUAUUCUUUGUAGAUGGAAAUGAACCCCCAUCCACUCCUCCUUUCACUUGCCAGCAGUUAAUACAUUCACGUUCUCCCAAAUAAUCUGAGCUGGGGCAAAGAACUUUUUUUUUUUUACUACAGCUACUAGAUUCUCUGAACUGGUCGAGCCUUAGCUGUACUGGUAGAGGCAUUAUGGGAGCUGUACUCUGAAAAUAAUAAAGCAUGAAGAAUGGGGAAGAAAGGGGGCUAAAUAUCCUAAAAGCAACAGAUCUCAUCUGAUCUUGGAAGUUAAACUGAGUCAGUGAAUGAGAGACCACUAAUUAAUACCAGCAAAACCUACUUAAUCCCAAGGAAGGGAUUAGAAAAAACACCCAUGAAUAU
rnacentral:lncRNA from 1 species